ensembl:lncRNA
CUUUUUAACAAAUGUUUUCAUUUACAGGAAAAUGCAAAGAAAAUUUUCAAGUGACAGUCUUUUUUUUUUAAGUGUUUCGUAAGACAAAACAAAAAGAAUACUGUUUUUUUGAAGUUCUGGUGAGAUUGAAGUCUGACAUUUGCAGUAAUAAUAUUUAUUAAAAGCCCAUAACUACCAGGAAUAGUGACACCUCCCACCCCUCGAUUCCCAUAACAUGAAAUCUGAGUAUGCGCUGUUUGAGUGGGGCGAACGGCAUGGCAGGCUACUUUUCCAGGCCUUUGCAAGUCCAUCACCCAGGGGUGUCCUACAGACUUCUUGCAAGAUCUUCAGCCAUGAGGUGAAAGAGCCAAGACAAAGAACCACGUUCAAAGAACCUUAGCGAGAAUUUGCUUUGGGGUUUUCUUUUCUGGAAAAAAACAAGAGAAAUAAUACAUUGAAAGCAAAUGAGUUCCCACCUCCUCCGGUUCCCCAUGUGGAGUUCAGAGAUCAUUUCCUGCAUUGUCACCGCUGAACGAGGAACCUGGGCAGCCAGGGCGUGAUUAGAUUUAGACUCGCGCCGAGUGUGCAGUGCAGAUCCGUGUGCCGGCGUUCAGACGGGCACUCUUCCCGGUGGCAGCCACGCCGUGCUGUCACAUUGCAUUUCUUGCAGACUCUAAAUCUACGGAGUAGUGAACAACGACCUCAUUUUAUUUUCUAUGUUAGUUAUUUAUUUCAAAAUUAACGUUUUAGUUUAUUUUUGUCUGAUAAGUGUAUGUUUUGCACUGCUAACUACCAUGAGGGUUUAAACAACGCUUCUUCGGGGUCCCUUCACUGAGGACCUAUGUAGUCUACUUAAUGCUGUGAAUUACAUUUUUCAAAUGUUUAAUUUUUUAAAAGAAUUAAUAUUCUAUUUUUUCUUUUAGGCUUCUCUAGAAAUGCAGCUUUUAUUUAUUACCCCAUUUCUUUCAAAUUUAGAAGAAAAGAUCCUGUUUCCAUUCGAAAGGAACUGUAAGCUUUGAUCUUUUAACCAACUGAACACACCAAAAGCAGCCCCGGGAUGAGCAUUUUUUGGAAAGCAAUUAGGUUACUCACCUGGUAUUAAAGCUGUUUACUACUAAGAAAAUAUCUGACUUUAAGUUAAAAGGCAGCAUCAAAAACUGAAAAGGGAAAAAAUAAAUAGCUUCUCUGUACUCGUUCGGAGCUCCCCGAAACAGGAGCCGUGGAGAGGAGACGUCGAGACCCGGCUGCCCUUGGGGACCACCCUGUGCUCCAGAGGCGUGCUCGCUGCCCGAGCACUCAGCACCUCUCCCCCGGCCCUGGAAAGACGUGGUGGAGCCCGCGGAGCAGCACCUCCCACUCCUCUCUCUUGUUCUGAAUGGUGUUCGUGUCAGUCUGCAGCUGUGUAUGGUAUUACGUCUUAUAAUCCUGCAUCACUUCUAGCCUAUCCAGUCAUAUCUAAUGUAGAAAAUUAGUUUCCAGUGAAAGUAAUAUGUAGUGCUUUUAUGAUAUUUGUGUGCAAUAUCCCCUCUUCCAUUGAGGAUAUUUGAUGUAAAAGAAAAAAAACUCAGUUCCACAAUAAAAUACAAAAGUGGCAAAAGCUAACGUGUGUGCUGGCUGCCUUUCGUUUUGAGUCCCUGAGUUGGGCUCAUGGGGAGUUGGGGUUUGCCACCCCCAGAGGGAGGGGGCGGCGCAGCUUCAUGCAUGUGGGCUGACUGUGUUCUUUUCAGGGUGGGCUCCGGGCUUUUGGCAAACUGAGGAGAGGGUUCUGCUACUAUUUCUACGCUUGCAACCUCGUUAUCUUUUAUAACCAAGCCCUAGAGGACACUGGGGCCUAAUGACAGAAAAUGGGAGAG